AAUAGAUUAAAAAGAAUUGCAAUAUUUUCGAUGAAAUUAUUAUUAUUAUUUUUGAAAACAAUAAUUAUUACAAGUUACAACAUAAUGUAAAUAAUUUAUUACGAGUUACUGCGCGUACGAGUUCUUUUUCUUGAACGUACAUUAUUUUAUUUUUUUUACGUAGUACCUAACCUAACCCUACCAGUAUGCCGCUACAAUAGUGCCUCUGAUGUUACCAGGGUCCUAUAUUGGAUAACGAAAAAUCAGUGGCGUAACUAAGAAUGAUCAGAGAGCACGGGUGCACCCGAGCCCGUUUGCUUAGGAGACCCGAAGUAAUAUUAAAUACUUCAAUUUUGGCUUGUUUCAAAGUAAAUGUGGGAGUUAUUAUAUGGCUUGCCGCCGAAUAUUAUCGUUUACGGGCGGUCCACUGUCCCUGUCAGGCCGAUACGUCUUGUCGGCGAAUAGCCGAACGACAUCUGGACGUGCGGCGACGGCAACGGUGACACCGAUCUACGUAACGUCGUACAGAUGGCGCCACCGACGACGCUCGAGCGCCCACCCAGAUCGACGAUCGCCGUCCGGUUACGUCCGACACGACGGUGCGACGUGUUUGCCGGCGCCUGUUACCAGGGUCCCAUGCGCGGUUGUCGCGCUACCAACGCGACGGACGCGAAGACGGGGGAACGGCGCCGGACAGAGGAAGUGUGUCAUUCGGAACCACCGUAGACCUUAACUCGAAGUAGUAAGGUCAUUGUUUUUUGCGGUUGGAAUCCGACGACGAUCGAGCGGCCACUCAGAUUGACGAUCGCCGUCCGGUUACGUUCGGCACGACGUGUUUGCCGGCGCCUGUUACCAGGAUCCCAUGCGCGGUUGUCGCGCUACCAACGCGACGGACGCGAAGACGGGGGAACGGCGCCGGACCGAGGAAGUAUGUCAUUCGGAACCGUAGACCGAGACCGAAGUAGGUGUUUUUUUUUGCGGUUGGAAUCGACGACGCCGUGCAUUACUUUCAUUACUUUUUUUGGAAGAGUAUAAGGUCCGUCACAGUGGGAACGGACUCGCGAGUAAGGAACUUUGGGGACAACGCGGUGGCCGCAAACAAGCCCAGUCUCGGCGUGAGUACCAGGGCCCUAUCAAUAAACGACUCGCUCGCUCGACUCUGUCGCCGCCGUCGUGGCCGGCACGAUACCAGUAUGCCGAAUUAGUGCCUCCGACGUACCAGGACCCCAUAUUGGAUGACGUGAAUAAAUAGACGGAAAAUCGAUCCGAUUCAAGCGCCGUUGUCGUCGUUGUCGUCGUCGUCGUCGUCGUUUUUAAAUUUAUUUUAUUCGUGCGAUAUUAUUGAACGAUACGGCUCGAUACGAGUCGAGACGGCUGAAAGGCGGUCAUGUAUUCUUUCGUCCGAGUCCGUAUCGCACGUGUCGUUUAA